rnacentral:rRNA from 1 species
UAUUGGUCAAUGGACGAGAGUCUGAACCAGCCAAGCAGCGUGAAGGAUGACUGCCCUAUGGGUUGUAAACUUCUUUUAUAUGGGAAUAAAACGUUCCACGUGUGGGAUUUUGUAUGUACCAUAUGAAUAAGGAACGGCUAACUCCGUGCCAGCAGCCGCGGUACUACGGAGGAUCCGAGCGUUAUCCGGAUUUAUUGGGUUUAAAGGGAGCGUAGGUGGAUUGUUAAGUCAGUUGUGAAAGUUUGCGGCUCAACCGUAAAAUUGCAGUUGAAACUGGCAGUCUUGAGUACAGUAGAGGUGGGCGGAAUUCGUGGUGUAGCGGUGAAAUGCUUAGAUAUCACGAAGAACUCCGAUUGCGAAGGCAGUUCACUGGACUGCAACUGACACUGAGGCUCGAAAGUGUGGGUAUCAAACAGGA